GGUGCACCAGACAAUACUUUUGCGAGGACAGGAUCUUCUGCUGUCUAUCUCACUGUGCCUACUGUAAAUAAGCAUUUACACGAGCUCUGAAAUCAUGCAGUUCAACUAAAAGAUUUUAUCAUCAUCAAGCAUGGUCUCAAGUGCAGACGAUCCCACACUUUCACUGCUGUUACUGGACAUCAACAUUUUAAAAUGUGUAAAAAUCCAGAGGGACAACCUCCCAUUGGCUGCAGCACCACCUUCAUCCCCAGCAUCAGCAUCCCCACCUUUAUUUCCCCUCGACAUUGGAACAUGUCUGUACUGAUUUUGAGAGUGCCCCUCUACAGCCAGUAGGAAUUGAUUGUGGGGUAUUUAUGUUGAUGUCAAGUCCCACAACUACUCACCCAGGAAGUAACAUAUGCAGAUAACAUGAAAUUCACUCCACCUGAGUCAGAUGUCAUGGAGAUCAUCCAGACACCAGAAGUAGAUCACACAGGACUCAGCGGUGAUGAGAAACAUUCAGCUGACCUGUGAGUGGGUAAAGGAGACCACUUGCUGUGAAGAUGAGCUGGAAAAGAUCUAAAGGAUGAUGCCCUGUUGGCUUUGACAAUGUUGGACUUGUUUAUAAACACUGUGUUUUAUGAGGGU